rnacentral:lncRNA from 1 species
UGCAGGGUAACAUUAUUGUUAGUGAAGGUGACACUAGAAUCAAGAGAACGAGUUAAACGACUGACUGAAAGUAAAUUAAAUGGACAAUUAGGUACAUAGAGGACAUAACUAACCAAGAGAGAAGGUAGAAUUUGAAUGGUACCAAUCCGUUCAAAUCGGGUUUGAGGAUCAUUGGCAGAAGUUAUAGUAGGUAAGGAACCGGAUGUAGAGAGGGAAGAGAAAAGAUUUUUAUUACCGGUAACA